GUGGGCUUAGAAUUCUAGGACUACAUUCAACAGUAGACUGCACAGCAUGACCUGUAUCUACUUUUAUAGUGAACCAGUAGCUUAUAGAAGUCACAACAAUUGAUUGCGAGCAAGCGAAUUCACAAAUAAGUAGCAAAACAUAAAACAAACAGGCAAAAGCAUAGGCGUAACCAGCAAACAAAAGUCAAAACCAGAAGAACCUUAUCGAAACCUUCUAUUCCUAAAUAAGCUAGCUAAAAAAUAACAGCCCCGACCUACCUCGUUUCAGAUUCAAUACAAAUAUGAAAUAGAAAAAUGUCCAAAUCCCAUAAUCAUCCAAAUUAUCUUCAAGAAAAGAAGCGUCUCAAUCCAAAAAUAUAGAACAACGACAGAUCUAACAAAAGAAACUGCAAUUUUAGUCUAAAGCUACCACUUAGAGUAUUGAGAUUACGAAAAAUGGGCAAAAAAUGCGAAGCGAAAACAUAAAAUCAGCAAAAGCAAAAGCGAAGAAGAAACUGGUAGAAGAAGAGAUAGGAAGC
rnacentral:misc_RNA from 1 species